rnacentral:rRNA from 1 species
GACGAACGCUGGCGGCGUGCUUAACACAUGCAAGUCGAACGGCAAGGCCCUGCUUUUGUGGGGUGCUCGAGUGGCGAACGGGUGAGUAACACGUGAGUAACCUGCCCUUGACUUUGGGAUAACUUCAGGAAACUGGGGCUAAUACCGGAUAGGAGCUCCUGCUGCAUGGUGGGCGUUGGAAAGUUUCGGCGGGUGGGGAUGGACUCGCGGCUUAUCAGCUUGUUGGUGGGGUAGUGGCUUACCAAGGCUUUGACGGGUAGCCGGCCUGAGAGGGUGACCGGCCACAUUGGGACUGAGAUACGGCCCAGACUCCUACGGGAGGCAACAGUGGGGAAUAUUGCACAAUGGGCGGAAGCCUGAUGCAGCAACGCCGCGUGCGGGAUGACGGCCUUCGGGUUGUAAACCGCUUUCGCCUGUGACGAAGCGUGAGUGACGGUAAUGGGUAAAGAAGCACCGGCUAACUACGUG